rnacentral:rRNA from 1 species
GACAUAGGUGGCGAACGUUGUCCGGAUUUAUUGGGCGUAAAGAGCUCGUAGGCGGUUCGACAAGUCGGGUGUGAAAACUCCGGCUCAACCCGGAGACGCCACCCGAUACUGUCGUGACUGGAGUCCGGUAGGGGAGUGGGGAAUUCCUGGUGUAGCGGUGAAAUGCGCAGAUAUCGGGAGGAACACCAGUGGCGAAGGCGGCACUCUGGGCCGGAACUGACGCUGAGGAGCGAAAGCGUGGGGAGCGAACAGG